CUUAUCCUGGAAGUUUCAUUGGCCCAAUCCCAAAGUCCGGACUCACAGACUCACAGACUUUGGUGCGCGUUCUCGCGGAAUUCGUAAGGGCUUAGGGUUGUCCCAAUUUCGAAUUUCAAAGGGCGUGAGGGUUUGAGUACACAC